UCGCGUUGAAAGUUAAGCCUUGGCUACCAGAAGGGAAACCCCCCCGAAGUUUGCAUAUACUUACAUGGUCUGAAUUUAACUAUCUGUUUGCCUGCCUCGCUGUACUCUGCCUUCACAGCCCCAGGAAGUGAAGACUACUUCUGCCAUCCUUGGCCUGUGAUGAAGUAAGGCACAGGGAAACAACAGUGCUGAAGUCACCGCAGACAGGAGCUGAACUCAGGCGACCCAUGCAAUCAUGCAACCAUGCAACCAUGCAACCAUGCAAGAGGUUCUUCUUUUUCAUUGUGGAGAGUCACAGUUUUGUACCAGGUGCCCUGGUCAUGUUUGUGACAUUUAUAAUCAAUUCAUCUAAACUCUUUGGCUUUCACUCCCACUACCCAUUCUUCCCCACUCUAGCGUUGAGCAUUGGUUUUCUUUCUCUGUGAAAUGGCUGUUUUGAUAUGUUGUUUAAAUUAAAUCGUAACGCGUGCAAGUUCUCACAAAUCAGUUCUUUCAUCCAGAAGAUGUGUUCAGUCUUCCUCCCUGGCUGCAGCAUCGGUCCUCUUCGUAGACAAACGACAUCCCACAGUAUUUGUCUUCGUUAGGGUUCCUAUACCUGCAACAAAACACCAUGACCAAAAAGCAAGUGUGUGUGUGGGGGGGGUUUAUUUAGCAUAUACUUGCACAUUGCUUCAUCACUGAAGGAAUUCAAGACAGGAACUCAAAUGAUCCUGGAGUCAGGAGCUGAUACAGAGGCCAUGGAAGGUGCUGCUUAUUAGCUUGCUUCCCCUGCCUUGCUCAGGAACCCAGGAUUUCCAGCCCAGGGAUGACACUCCCCCAUUAAUCACUAAUUGAGAAAAUGUCUUACAGCCGGAUCUCAUGGACUCUAGCUUGUGACAGGUUGACUCACAAAACCAGCUAGUACAAUGUUGAUUUGUCAAAUGAACUUCUUCAUUUAUCAGUUUGUGGAUUUUGGUGGGUUGUUUCUACCUUUUGACUAUCAUUGUUAAUAAAGCUGAAAAUAUUUA